CCACCACCACCACCACCACCACCUCCAACCGCCCUCGUUGAAUUCCCCUCCCAGUCCACCUGACGCCUCCCAGUGCAGCCCAGUGCAGCCCAGUGCAGCCCAGUGCAGCCCAGUCCCGUCCGCUGUGCACCUCUGGCUCCACUCCCAGCUUUGGCACCGCCGGGCGCGGAGGUUCCUGCCCUGCUGCGGUUGACUCAGCCUUAGGGCUGCAGCACCGGCGGGCACCGUGCGGCCCAUGGCCCCCCCCCAGCCCUGGGCGAGCCCCCCCCGAGCCCGCAGCACGCAUGGAGCUGGAGCCUGCUGGACCUCAGCUUCCUGACCGAGGCGGAGCGCUGCGCCAUCGCCGAAGUGCUGCACCGCGACGCUCUGCUGCGCCGCACGGAGGAGGGCCGCGUCAG
rnacentral:lncRNA from 1 species